rnacentral:rRNA from 1 species
GACGAACGCUGGCGGCGUGCUUAACACAUGCAAGUCGAGCGAGCGGCGAACGGGUGAGUAACGCGUGGUAACCUGCCCCCCUCUCUGGGAUAACUUCGGGAAACCGGAGCUAAUAACGGAUACUUAUAGAUGGAUCCGCGCUGCAUUAGCUAGUUGGUAAGGUAACGGCUUACCAAGGCAACGAUGCAUAGCCGACCUGAGAGGGUGAUCGGCCACACGUGAACGGAUACACGGUCAAGCCUCCGACGUGAGGCAGCAGUGGGGAAGAUUGCACAAUGGGCGCAAGCCUGAUGCAGCCAUGCCGCUUGUAUGAAGAAGGCCUUCGGGUUGUAAAGUACUUUCAGCGAGGAGGCGUUACUCGCAGAAGAAGCACCGGCUAACUCCGUGCCAGCAGCCGCGGUAAUAC